GGGGACCCCUCUCCUCGUUACUGAUAUUUUCUAUUUGCUACCAGCCUUCUUUGGAAUGCCUUUUUGAGAAGGAGAUGUCACAUGUAGUUUUGAUUCUUAGACGGGGUCAUAAGAUGCCUUCUAUGAGAACGAAUACUGAGGCAUCCGGUGGCAAGGAGUGAGGGUCUCCCCUGUAGGAAGCGUACAGAGAAGGAUCUAACAUUUAUGGACUGGUUGCAAGGUGGGUGUGUAGCCUGUGGGUUGGACCAAUGUGGUCAAGAAAGUCUUGCAAAUGGGCAGUCAGAGGCGAUGGUGCCUCAGGGCCUGUUGGCAGCACCAGAGGCCAAGCUGUUAAAAAUGGAAACUUGAGUCUCUCAAGCCCCUCAUUUCACGGCAUAUUAUUGCUAGCAACCUGCUGGACUCUUCCUCGGUUCACGGAUUGAUUUUCCUUUAUCCCCUAUUUCUGCUCCUGUAAUGCACUCUUCUAUACCUGAAACAAUUCUGGUGGAUCUUUUUGCUUGAAUGUAUUUUUCAAAAAUGAAGUUUGCCACUUUGAUGUGUCUUUA